GUCCGAGUUGUAAUUUGCAGAGGAUGCUUCGGGUUCGGCUCCGGUCUAAGUUCCUUGGAACAGGACGUCAUAGAGGGUGAGAAUCCCGUAUGUGACCGGUCGCCACGCCCGUGUGAAGCUCCUUCGACGAGUCGAGUUGUUUGGGAAUGCAGCUCAAAAUGGGUGGUAAAUUUCAUCUAAAGCUAAAUAUUGGCCAGAGACCGAUAGCGCACAAGUAGAGUGAUCGAAAGAUGAAAAGCACUUUGGAAAGAGAGUCAAACAGUACGUGAAAUUGUUGAAAGGGAAGCGCUUGCAAUCAGACUUGCCCGCGGGUGAUCAGCCGGUAUUCUUACCGGUGCACUCGCCCGUGGUCAGGCCAGCAUCGGUUCGGGCGGCUGGAUAAAGUCCACCGGAACGUAGCUCCCCUCGGGGAGUGUUAUAGCCGGAGGUGCCAUGCAGCCCGCCCGGACCGAGGACCGCGCUUCGGCUAGGAUGCUGGCGUAAUGGUUGUAAGCGACCCGUCUUGAAACACGGACCAAGGAGUCUAACAUCUAUGCGAGUGUUUGGGUGUCAAACCCAUGCGCGUAAUGAAAGUGAACGGAGGUGGGAACCCUUAAGGGUGCACCAUCGACCGAUCCUGAUGUCUUCGGAUGGAUUUGAGUAAGAGCGUAGCUGUUGGGACCCGAAAGAUGGUGAACUAUGCCUGAAUAGGGUGAAGCCAGAGGAAACUCUGGUGGAGGCUCGCAGCGGUUCUGACGUGCAAAUCGAUCGUCAAAUUUGGGUAUA
rnacentral:rRNA from 1 species